rnacentral:rRNA from 1 species
CCUACGGGAGGCAGCAGUGAGGAAUAUUGGUCAAUGGACGUAAGUCUGAACCAGCCAAGUAGCGUGCAGGAUGACGGCCCUAUGGGUUGUAAACUGCUUUUGUAUGGGGAUAAAGUCAGUCACGUGUGAUUGUUUGCAGGUACCAUACGAAUAAGGACCGGCUAAUUCCGUGCCAGCAGCCGCGGUAAUACGGAAGGUCCAGGCGUUAUCCGGAUUUAUUGGGUUUAAAGGGAGCGUAGGCUGGAUAUUAAGUGUGUUGUGAAAUGUAGACGCUCAACGUCUGACUUGCAGCGCAUACUGGUUUCCUUGAGUACGCACAACGUUGGCGGAAUUCGUCGUGUAGCGGUGAAAUGCUUAGAUAUGACGAAGAACUCCGAUUGCGAAGGCAGCUGACGGGAGCGCAACUGACGCUUAAGCUCGAAGGUGCGGGUAUCAAACAGGAUUAGAUACCCUGGUAGUC